rnacentral:miRNA from 1 species
UGGUAGACUGGAGACAUACACU